GCACAAGUUUCAACCAAAAACCUUCUCAUCUCCUCUUUGACAUUAUCGAUUCAUUUCCGAUUAUCAUAAACCCUAACAAAUCAACCGUAAUUCCAUGAUCUUUAUAAAUCCACUUCUGUUCCUGCUGCUGCUACUACUACUCCUGUGAAAUUACAGGUUGAAUUCUGAGAAAUCGAGGAAAAAAUUGUUGAUGAGAGUGAGAAGCCCGGGAGAUUUCGGACUGAUGAAGGUGAGAUUUGUUCUUCUGAAAGGGCUAUGUUGGUUUACAUGCUUCGAAGCCCUCCAGUAUUUCCGCACCUGAAGAAGGACCCAAAUACUUCAACAGAUUCCAGGCAUCGACUGAAGAAGGAUCCUUUUCAGCCUUUCAGGUUACAUUGGGAGUUUCGGCAGAGACACUUAAUCAUGGGCCGGUUGAUCUUGAUAUAACCGCUGACCGAAGGAAGAUGAAGAGAUAUGGAUGAUCACCAAAAUACUGUUAAAGAUGCCCUAGAGAACCAUGAACUGUAGGCCUGGGAAGGAUUGGAGCAAAUGGCUAACAUCUUCCAGAACACUGGACUUUUCUUUACCACGGACUAUAAUGAGCUCAAGACUUCGAAACUUGUACUGAAAGAUGCCAUAGUUUUGGAGGAAAUGGAUUUUUUUUACAGCAAAUGCUUGAUAACUUGGAAUUGGUGCAGUUGAAAAUCCUAUUUCACCUUGAUGUGUAUUUGUUUUGAGGAACUUCAGAGUCUUGAUUAGUGGUGGCUCUUCCAUCCAUCAGUUGAAUAGAAGGUAUUCAUGGCUCUCGUGAGAUGAUGUCCAAUGGGUCUGCAGAUGCAGUUAGUAAUAGAAACAUGUUCAUUUUGCACUGGUGGGCAUCAACAACCAGAUGAGUUUGCUUCAAUCUAAGUGUGCUCGAUAUAUGGUUUCAAGCAGUGAUCUGAAUCAAGUUAAGCAGUACAUAAUCUUAAUGAAGGUGGAUCAGCUAAGGAAUGAGUUGAGUGAAACUCAGAAUAACUCUGUCCAAGACUAUGUUACAAGUUGGCUUAAUGAAGGUGGAGAUUUUUCUAAACUGAGAAUGGUGGGUCUUGUUUAUUUUGGGCAAUCUGGAAGGCGAGAAAUAACAUAAUCUUUAACAGUGGGAAGUUUAAUAUCCAGGCUAUCAUUAAAGAAGCCAUGUACUGGUUUAAUAUGGAGAUAAUCCACGAUACUGAAGACAUUCCCACCUGAACUGAUAUUUUGAAUUCUCAAAAGUGGGAGGCGCCUAUGGCAGGUAAGAGUAAAAUCAAUUUUGAUGGUGCUGCUGGUCCCAGGGUUAUUAUUGUAGUGCUGUGGCAAGAGACGGUAAGGCUGGUUAUCAAGGUGGUCAGACCAAUAUUUUCAAUUACAUAAUGGCCAUUGAAGCUGAGGCUCAUAGAGCGGCUCUUGCUUUGGAGCUGGCUAAAACCAAAGGAUUCAGAUACAUAGUGCUUGAGGGUGACUCCUUAACUAUCAUCAACACCUAAGGUACAAACAUUACAGCUCUCCUUGGUGUAUUCAAAACUCAAUCAGCAGGAUCAGAGAGGAGCCGGGCAAUUUCAACUCUGUGGAUUUCCAACUUGUUCAAAAGGAGGCCAAUAAUGUGGCUGCUUAUACAGUUACUAACCCCGCAUCUGAAGUGUGGCUCAUACUCAUUGAUGUUGUCUCUUCUUCUGAUUUUUAGGCUUUUUGAUUUUUCCUUCGUCUUUCCUUCCAAAAAAAAAGAAAAAAAAAAAGGUUAAGCGGUACAUUACCUGUCCCUUCUCGACUUGAGUUUCUUUCUCUUUUGAAAUGGUGACCAGGGUCAAGCUGGCGAAAGAUUAAAUAAAUAAAUUGGCCAAGAUUCUUGAA